rnacentral:rRNA from 1 species
UGGGGAAUAUUGGACAAUGGGCGCAAGCCUGAUCCAGCAACGCCGCGUGGAGGAUGAAGGUCUUCGGAUCGUAAACUCCUGUCAGGUGGGACGAAGUCUGCGGGGUGAAUAAUCUUGCAGGUUGACGGUACCACCAGAGGAAGCCCCGGCUAACUCCGUGCCAGCAGCCGCGGUAAUACGGAGGGGGCGAGCGUUAUUCGGAAUUAUUGGGCGUAAAGGGCGCGUAGGCGGCUUGACAAGUCAAAGGUGAAAUCCCUCGGCUCAACUGAGGAACUGCCUUUGAAACUGCAGGGCUUGAGUCCGGGAGGGGUAGCGGAAUUCCCAGUGUAGCGGUGAAAUGCGUAGAUAUUGGGAGGAACACCGGUGGCGAAGGCGGCUACCGUGGACCGGCACUGACGCUGAGGCGCGAAAGCGUGGGGAGCAAACAGGAUUAGAUACCCUGGUAGUCCACGCUGUAAACGAUGGGUGC